GUUUUAACACAACUUUUGUUAGGAAAAUAUAACUUCACAACACCUUGUGAAUUGCCCAAUUAUUUGUAUUUCUUAGACAAUGGCAUAUAAGUGGACCAGGGAAAGUAUUGAGAAAAUUUAUAUAUUUGUACCGGGAGCAUGAAUGUCUUUACUCCGUGAGCUCCAAGGACUAUUUAGACCGCCAGAAAAAAGCAAUGGCGCUCCAUGAUAUUCUAGCGAAGAUGCAAGAGAUUGAUGGGUGCAUAACGGUAGACGACCUUAAGAAAAAAUGGAAAAGUUUGCGAACGCAAUAUUUGCAAGAAUGUCGGUCGGUGAAGAAUUCCACAAAAAGUGGCGCUGGUGUUGAUGAUGUCCACUGUCCGAAGCUUUGGUGCUUUGAUCAACUAAAAUUUUUACACAAUCAUGUGUAAUUCCGUCAAAGUGUUACUAAUGUCGAAGAAGGUUCUGAUGACGCUUCCUGUCCCUUAAGCACAGAAAAGGUUCCAAAAAAGCCGAAAAUAACCACAGUGCAGUUUGCGGCUGAAAUUAAAAACAUGAAGAACAUGAUAGCUGACAGAAAAGCAAAUAAAAAUAAAUUUGAGUGGUUGGGUCGGCAAGUGACUGAGCAGAUGGAAGAGGUGGAUGAGGAGUAUAAGCCGCAAGCAGUUAUGGAGGUUCAAGGUGUUAUUAAUAAAUACUGGCAGAAAACCAUAAUAAAAAGAACUGCGUCAUCAUAUUCCACUGCAUCAUCACCGUCUCCGAUUCCUUCACGGGAUAUUUUAGAGGAAUCAAUGCGGGGUAUUUUCUGUAGAGAGAGAAUAAAGAACACGACGGUUUGAGGUUUAUGAGUGGACUGACUGUUUAAUGUAUCAAGAAUAUGCUUAUAAGUAUUACAAUUAUGCGAAGCUGGUAAAUAAAGUAUAAUAAGCUUAUGAGUGCAUUUUAUAUGCACAUAUACAAAUACAAAUACAUAUUUAAAUACAUAAGUAUUUUCAACA